GUAUUGAACUGGCAUGAACUAAUGGGCGAAUUGCAGUGCUAAUCGGCAUGUAUAUCUAAAAAAUAAUACCGUAUGUAUAACAACCCUUUGAAGACUGAAUACUGGAGAACUUGAAAUACCAUCACGCACGUGCAGACGCACCGAUUCCUCGCUCCUGGCCAAUCUACUCGUACGUGCAACGCGAGGGCAAGGUGCACCACCACAGACAUAAUUAUUUCGACGACGACGUCGGGGCCUACCGCGAGCAGAUCAUCAUCAAUGGGUCGGAACCGCAGGCGCCAGCGCCACGAGCUCCCGUAGGAUCGACGGCGCGGGCGGACGACAAUAAAAGCAGUGAAACCGCCGAAACUAUAACCGAGGGAUACUCGUCUGUUGACGCAAUACGCCAUUGAUGUUGUCCUGGCUCUCAAGGACUCCAAGGCCCGCCUGUUCGUGUCGGCAACGCUGGGUGUCUGGAAGUAUGUGGUGGCUGCGCGGAGUAUCCAGAACCUGCCCACCUUUAGCAACAUGACCUGUGAUUCCCGAGAGUUUGUGCCGUUCGCAGAGGUUUGCAAGACAAACUUCACAAUUGGAAAACGCGGCGAAGCUGGGAUUGGCUACGACUACGACUUGAAUAAAUCCACGUGGCGCUCGUAUGAGACGCCGGAAUCCAUUUCUUUCAAGAUUCAACGUGUGUCUCGACGCCUGAAAGACGCCCACGCUGCGGGCAGGGCCGGUUUCUGGGCGUUAUACGAUGUCGAAAUGGACGACUGGGACGGCGAAUGCCACAAUGGUAUUCCGGGAAGCCCGUUAGAAUGUACAAAUUUGCGGAUAUGACGGAACAUGCCUCUAUGCAAGGAAUUACGCACAGCUAGCACGCAAUGUGUGUUAGCUGCUUGCGAAAUAAACUUAUGCGGUACACAUGUUGCCCACACUGCACCCCUACCGACGACUCCCUCAGUGUAACUGAAAUUAAUCUCGAAGGUCAUACUUUAGCGUACUGAAAACCCCGGAAGUGACGUUAUGGCCGCCAUGUUUUGUUUUAAACACUGGGUCCCUGGAAAAAAAGCAUUCUUUUGAUUGUCGCUCAAACUACCCUAAAUGAGAUCGGUAUAUUUAUGCUUGUACGCUUGCGCGCUAUAGCUUCGGGUGCAUUUCAGGCCUUACAAAAACAAAUGUUGACAGCCAUUCUUUAGAGAUCGUACAGAUAUUAUACGUUUGCGAAUGCGUUUUAGAUUUUUUUGUAAAUUUCAUAAAGUAAUAGUUCAUCGUGAAUAUCUCGCAGACUCCUUGACACACAGAAAUAUUGCGCGGAGACCUUAGGCAAAAUCACGUGCAGGGAAACGUAGAUCAAUCUCGUGCCAUAAGACAAUGUGUAGUAUAUCUUGCGCUGCCAAGGUGACAUCUUAACUCUUCGGCAUGUUA